UACAAUGUAGAGUUUGAUCCUGGCUCAGGAUGAACGCUAGCUACAGGCUUAACACAUGCAAGUCGCAGGGUAACGUGAGGGAAGCUUGCUUCCCUUGACGACGACUGGCGCACGGGUGAGUAACGCGUAUCCAACCUUCCCAUGACCACGGGAUAACCCGUUGAAAGACGGACUAAUACCGUAUGACGUCGUUUGCUGACAUCAAAUAACGAUUAAAGGUUUGGCGGUGAUGGAUGGGGAUGCGUCUGAUUAGCUUGUUGGCGGGGUAACGGCCCACCAAGGCGACGAUCAGUAGGGGUUCUGAGAGGAAGGUCCCCCACAUUGGAACUGAGACACGGU
rnacentral:rRNA from 1 species